rnacentral:rRNA from 1 species
UACAGAGGUGGCAAGCGUUGUUCGGAAUUACUGGGCGUAAAGGGCGCGUAGGCGGCCCUCUAAGUCAGACGUGAAAUCCCCCGGCUUAACCUGGGAACUGCGUCUGAUACUGGAGGGCUUGAGUAUGGGAGAGGGAUGUAGAAUUCCAGGUGUAGCGGUGAAAUGCGUAGAUAUCGGAAGGAACAUCAGUGGCGAAAGCGGCUUCCUGGUCCAGCACCGACGUUCAGGCACGAAAGCGUGGGGAGCAAACAGG